rnacentral:tRNA from 1 species
GCGGGCGUAGCCGAAUUGGCAUAGGCGCUUGCCUUAGGAGCAAGUGGGAGCAAUCCCGUGGAGGUUCAAGUCCUCUCGCCCGCA